GACGAACGCUGGCGGCGUGCUUAACACAUGCAAGUCGAACGGAAAGGCCCUGCUUUUGUGGGGUGCUCGAGUGGCGAACGGGUGAGUAACACGUUAGUAACCUGCCCUCGACUUUGGGAUAACUUCAGGAAACUGGGGCUAAUACCGGAUAGGAGCUCCUGCUGCAUGGUGGGGGUGGGAAAGUUUCGGCGGCUGGGGAUGGACUCGCGGCUUAUCAGCUUGUUGGUGGGGUAGUGGCUUACCAAGGCUUUGACGGGUAGCCGGCCUGAGAGGGUGACCGGCCACAUUGGGACUGAGAUACGGCCCAGACUCCUACGGGAGGCAGCAGUGGGGAAUAUUGCACAAUGGGCGGAAGCCUGAUGCAGCAACGCCGCGUGCGGGAUGACGGCCUUCGGGUUGUAAACCGCUUUCGCCUGUGACGAAGCGUGAGUGACGGUAAUGGGUAAAGAAGCACCGGCUAACUACGUG
rnacentral:rRNA from 1 species